AUUGAACGCUGGCGGCAGGCUUAACACAUGCAAGUCGAGCGGAGAUGAGGUGCUUGCACCUUAUCUUAGCGGCGGACGGGUGAGUAAUGCUUAGGAAUCUGCCUAUUAGGGGGGGACAACAUUCCGAAAGGAAUGCUAAUACCGCAUACGCCCUACGGGGGAAAGCAGGGGAUCUUCGGACCUUGCGCUAAUAGAUGAGCCUAAGUCGGAUUAGCUAGUUGGUGGGGUAAAGGCCUACCAAGGCGACGAUCUGUAGCGGGUCUGAGAGGAUGAUCCGCCACACUGGGACUGAGACACGGCCCAGACUCCUACGGGAGGCAGCAGUGGUGAAUAUUGGACAAUGGGCGGAAGCCUGAUCCAGCCAUGCCGCGUGUGUGAAGAAGGCCUUUUGGUUGUAAAGCACUUUAAGCCAGGAGGAGGCUACCUGGAUUAAUACUCUAGGAUAGUGGACGUUACUCGCAGAAUAAGCACCGGCUAACUCUGUGCCAGCCGCCGCGGUAAAAC
rnacentral:rRNA from 1 species